ACGAAACGGUGCUUGCCAAGCGCGUCUUCAAGGUGAAAGUGUCUGCGUUCACCCGGUGAACGCAGCGCAAGCGUUAGGUUCACCCAAAAGUCACGUCCGGGACGCCACAUCCGGUAUGUUUUUUUCACGUCCGUGAUGUCACAUCCGGCCUUUUUGGCGGCAUAAUAUGGCAUAUGGCAGGCUCGGAGUGCACGAAGCGGUGGAUCGCUUAUUUUUCGGGCUUUUGCUUCUCGUAAGUAUACUUCGUCUUUGCGUUUGAUGUGCAUCUACUACGCGUAGCUAAUCUUUCGACUGCAUGAUGCCAUAUAUAGGUGUUCUGUGAUGAUACUUUAUAGCCAGGUUCCUCACGAGCUUUUGUGAUGCAUUGCAGGGACCGCCACACCGGCCAGCCAGUGCUACAGUGUCCUAAUGCAGAGAACGUAUAUUACACGGAACUGCGCUCCUUCAGAGUUAUUUAGAGUCUUUUUCAGAAGCACGUAACAGUAACAUUACUUGGUUAUACUUGGUUACGGUGCUGCUACAUGGCAGAAUAUUUGAAUGGCAGAUGUCCCGAGUUCGGCAUGUAAGUACGUACGUACGCGCGCUUGUUUAGCCUAAAUAAGAGUUUCUAUUGUUCCCCAAUGGAAAUGCACAUUCCUGAUGCACGGUUCAGAUCUGCCGGCUAAGGGCGGUAGUGAAUAAAGUCACCAAAUUGCGGCCUCGUUGCGGUCUCGCAUUGCGGCCUCAUUGCACGGUCGGGAAAAAUUGCUUUAGAACCAAAAUUUCGCUGCGCUGUCAGUAGCCAUUCACUGAUAAGCUUUCUCCGCAGCGUAAUGCUCAGUGCAGGUGUGAUGGGGGUUGUGUGUGCGGUCGGUAUGUGACCGAUAUUCCUGAACGCAGUGUCAUUCAGCGAUGUGCACAGCUGUGGCUGAUUGUAGAAUGUGGGCUGUGACAGGAGUGAUGGGGACCAUGUUCCUGCCUCGGCCAAGGUUGCAGCGAUUUCACAGCUGCAGGGAGCGCCCAGGCAGAACCUAAUCUCGGCCCUAUGCUGCAGCUCCAGCUUCUUGAGACGGGCACGUGGUAGUGCCACGAGUGGGAGGACGUACCGCAGGCGUGAGGUGGCUACUGCAUGGUACAGCCGCAGAGCCCACCUAGUGGUGCAGCUCUGUCCUCGGGCAACAAGCUGGGAGACUGCCUUGUGGACCCGGAGGACCUGGACAUGCAGGGUCUUGACAGCAGGCAGCCAGGUCAGCCGGUGAUGAACGUGUAGCCCCGGGUACGUCACUGCCAGGCUUCAAGGUCGCCUUCCAGUUGCAGCUGUGCAACGGGCGAUUGCUCUUGGGUGGAGCAGCAUGGCCUCGGUCUUCCUUGCCGAGAUGGCAAGGCCAAUGCAGCUCAUGUAAGCAGCGGCGGUGUCGAGGGCUCUUUGCAGAGCCGAGCGCGCACUGCUGUGGCUGUGUGGUGGAUUUCGCACACAUAGGGCGAUGUGGUCCGCGUUGAUGGAGGUAUUCACGUGGUUGUGGGGGUCAGUCUGCAGGACAGCAGGCAGUCGGGCCAGGUUGAACAGGAAAGGGCUCACCACUGAUCCUUGUGGGACGCCCUCUACCAAAUAGGUCCAGGGCCUGCUGAACGACUGGAUAGGGCAGGCCGUCAAAGGCCCCCUUCAUGCCGAUAAGCACCAGGAGCACGGCGUCACCGCAGGCCUUGGCCUCUUCCAGCGUGGAGACCACGUCCACGAUGGAGUCCGCACUGCAUCAGCUCCGCCGGAACCCUAUCUGCUCAUCGGCCUGAAAGCAAUGGCCUCCAUCAGCUUGCAAGCAGCAGAGGUGGCCAAAGAACGUAAUCGGAAGAGGUGACGAGACGAAUGCAUUCUUCGUGGUUAGGAAGAGAAUUGCCAGUGGCAUCAUCCAGUUGUGUGAGGCGCUGACGACAAGAGAUAGAAGCAAACGCCAAAGAUAAGAAGUCCCACCCCAAGAUGAGUUCAUGGGUCACUCACGAAAUACCGCAAAAACAAUGUGGUGAAGAAUUUAGUCUAUGGACACACGAACAGGACACGGUGCGAUUGGACGAAUAAUAACCUUGGCCGCUGCACAAAGAGAAAGGCCGGAGUAAGGCAAUUCUUGUGUUUUAUAGAGUCCCAAACAGUCACAUGGCAAUAAUCGCCAAGCGUCUUGUAACAUGGAGCCACCUCAGAAUUGCGCCAAACAAAGAUGAUGGAUGCAGCCAGUCUUGCCAGAUAACUACAUUUUGACUAUUCUGUAUUGUUUGCAUUUUUUGUGUAAAAGGAAUUGUCGCAGAGAGUUUUAUCUUCAGUGGCCUUCAGUUGACGUCAUCUGCUACAACUAGCACAUAAGUUAACUCCAUAGCACCACUAGGAUGGAGACAUUGUGUCGUGGGGUGCUUCCUUAAAAGUGGACAAGAAGAUUCUAAAGGAAAAGUGUGAGAUGGUCACAGUAAUAACCAAGGCAUUUGGCAUGGGAAUGACCCAGCUAUGAAAGUAUUAUCAGAUGUGGACAAGCAUAUAAUACUAAAUGGCGCCUUGCACGAGUCCCAAGUGUCAAAUGUAAUGAGUAUUGUGCAUUGAAAGGGCCAAAAAUGUUUUGUACAUGCAAGGGAACACUAUGGGCAUUUGAUAACAGUUGCUUAGAUGUACUACAUUAACAGGAACCAAACGAACUCCCUUAGACAUAAGCAUGCAGCAAAUUCAAGGACUAGAUGAAGCUUCAAAGAAGUAACUGCAUUUCAUGUAGGAUAGGUGUGAAUGACCUUUGUGCACGAGAUCAGUGACAAAAACACUAAAUGAAUGCAGUACAGUGUCUGUAUCAUAUCUUGUGCAGACCAAACUAGCCUGGAGUUUCAGCGUUCCUUGUCAGUUCAUUUAAAUAGGCACUACAUUGUUCAAAGUGCAAUAUUGUUCUACAAAACAUAAUAUGCAAGAUGUAGCAUGCUAACCCUCGUGGCUCAACAACUACUGAACCGAAACCUCAAUGAGCAGUGAAGCUUCCUUGUAAUUUUCAUCGUAACCAUACUUUCGCUCUUGAAAGUGAACCUCUUUAGUGAAUUUGCUUGUGUAUUAAUUUUUCUUUAGGCAAGUAUUUUUUAUACAUGUUAAUGUCUCAAUCCUGCUUUUUCUUUCCGGGGCUAAAACAAAAUGCCUCUUAUUUCACUUUGAUCUUUUGACCUAGGAAGCCAUCAUCUGGUGCUGUGUACAGCAAGCACAUGCUUCGGGCAAGGAGGGAGCCAGCACCAUAUCUACAUCAGCAAGAACCUCGGUGCUCAAAAUAAACAUUUUCUGUGCAAAUACCUGUCUUUUUAUACUUCCAGCAUGAAUUAAUAAGUUUCUUUUGCCUUCACAUGCAGGAAGGUUUAUAGGAAUAAAUAGUGACUGUUGAAUGCCCAGGAAAAGCCUUGAAGCCAUUCUACUUGUACAGUGAUAAAGUACAUGUGUACUUGAACUUGAUAGUACAGAAACGAAAGGCAAAGUAACAGGCAAAAUGCUCGGGGCAGCAGUCGUAUAAAUGGUAGAUGAACACAGCUAAUUGUGCUGUCCAGUUUCAUUCAGUUUGACCAAAUGUUGCAAGAAUUGCCUUCAAUAUGAAUCAUUCAGUUUAGCCAGCUAAAGUCGAACUCGUACAAACUUUGGAAUGUCUGCUGGGAAUUUUAGCAUAAAUGGUAUGUGUGCAUCCUUCAGCAGCACCACAAGCCCAGUAAGGUUUUUGCGUUACUGUCCCCCCUCCCUUGGGGUUAUUGCAGUGUCUACUUCAAGUGCUUGAGGGUAUAAUGGAAAAUGACUCCAUUCUCCAAUGAGAAGGCUAUAUAAAUAUGCAGGACAAGAGCUUGUAGGCCUGGUUAUAAGCAUGAAUUAGAUAUGUAUAGACCAAAGGCAAUAUGAAUACAAUAUGUUAAAUUGCAUCCAUAUGUGGGAACUGCCCACAUCAAAGGAAAGAAAGUGCAAUACUUGCAACCUACCAACAUAAACAUCAGUCUAGGGAAGGAUUCUGUAAGGAUCCACUAAGUGGACUGUUUCAGCACACACUGAUUAGGUAGAGCUAUAAGCUGGUAGAGCAAGUGGCAAUCAUCACCAUGGGCUCUCGUGCUCUAUUCAUUCAGCGUGUACUGGAAUGGACAGUCCACUUAGUCAACACUUACAGACUAGCCCCCUAGGGCUGUGGAAGCACGCAGUAUAUUAAGCUUAAGUCUGGAGUGCUACCUUCUGCUUAUGUGGCAAGUCCUCCUGUUUACCUGUUCCUUUCAACUGAGAGCUGAGCACUGCCUAGGUUAAGUCAGAAAAAGCAACCAGCGUCCAUAGAAUUCAAACUAUUACUAUUUGCCCUAUAUAAGGGGACAGUGAAGCCUAAAAUGACACUUGACUUGGGCCAUAUUUUUCGCGAUAUGCCCGAGAAUAUUGGGAUUUCCCAUCAAUUUUACCCUUCCUACAUCACAUAGUGAACAACCUGAAAACUUAACACUGUUGCGCAGAGCGAUGAAGGGUCAGGAUUUGAGCGAGAAAACAACACAUGACACCUGAGCGCAAACUAUGAACUGGUUUAUUUUUCUGCAAGUGAAGCGUACAUAAAGCCUACACGCAUGCACAGGAGUCCUCUUCCCGGUCUACCUACACCCUCUAUUGUCAGUGAUUAUGCUAAUCUCUUUAUUGCUGAGUGAAAUAGACGGCGGGCUGACACAUGAGCCCUGUGGGUCCACCUUGAGGUUGUAUGCUUCCACGACUUGUCUUUUCCUUUGGUUCCUACUUUUCAGCAGAAUCAUUGCCUUGUGAUAAUCACCAGUUGAUAGUUUGUGCUCAGGUGUCUAUUGUUUUCUCGCUCAAGUCCUGUCCCUUCGUCACUCCGCACAACAGUGUUAAGUAUGUUGAACCAACUAGCACACUGCACAAUUUUCCUGAUCUUGAAAACAAUUGUAAACUAAAGUCCGUGAGAAACAAAGUGUUCUGUCAUGACAUACAGAUUUAUGCAUGAUCACUUUGCUAUAUAAAAAUACAAUUUUAGCCAAUGUUAACGAAGAGCUUCACUUCUGGAGUUCACUUAAAUAAUGUCUGUGAUGCAUUGUGACAGUACGAGGUCCUGGAGAUCCUACUGUGGAGAUAUGUCAACAUUGAGCCUAUUCCUGUUUAAUGUAUGGAUAGAUGCCUUCACGAAGAGUUGGAGAAACUGCACAAUACAAUGUUUUAUAUCACAUGUAAUAAUUAUGCUGUGAUAAAGUGUACACGCUGAGCUUAAUGUUUUAGAAAAGCUCAAGAAAAGGCUCCAGAAUAGGUAUGAUGGAUAGGCAACCUUUUAUUUGGCUCUCUUCAUAGUGAAAUCUAGACGCAUCACCUCAGCCACACUUAGUAAAAUCUGUGGGCUCGUACUGCCCAUGCCUUUACUGCACAAGUUGCCUUGGUGCUCCCAGUCUUGACAGGUAACACUUAAGCACACUCUCAUGCACGUGUUUGUUCCAAAGCUACAGCUGCUAACUAAAGUAACUCCCACAUGCGAUUCUGUAACUCUAGACCUAACUGCAAAAACGCAUGCAGUACUACGAGUUUGGCAUGGAGUCCACAUGACAUGUGCACAACUUCAAAUUUCGUAUAGGCAACAGAUAACUGGUAACCUGUUAGAGUAACAAAAUGGAUGCCAAGGAAAAUUCACCCAAAGCCUUAGGCAGGAAAAUGAGGUGUUGUGAUGAGAUAAAUAGCAAUCACAUUUGAUCGACUGACUAAAAGCUGGCAGGGGUAUUGCAUUUGACAUGAUUGAAAUGAGCUGCAGCAUGGCAUGGUAACUGUGGCAGCCUUUACAAUGCCGCGCUCUCUGAAUUACACUUAUGUGCAUCCAUAUGCUGCAGCGACCAACUGUUUUUAUUCAAGAAAGCCAGGUUUGUGGUUCAGCACACAUCAUACGCUGGCAAACUCACUGAUGAGUCAACUCCCUGAGAUCAUCCCAUGAGUCUGAGUGAGCCCAGCUGAGCAGUAUUUUGGCGAGUUUGAGCCCGAGUGAGCUCGGCUGAGUAGUAUAUUCUUAUGAGUUCAAGUGAGCAGCUAAUUAUAAUUUUGGCGAGUCUAAAUAGUGAGUUCCGAUUAUUUUGCCAACAUAUAUAUGGUCCGUGUACUUUCGAAAUUCAGCUACGACACUUGCGCAUAGGUUGGAAAUUAAGCUUCUCGCCAAGUGACUACUGCAUAAAUGAUCAUAGAGCUAGCGAAGAACGAUACGCCUUAAUGAUGCAGCGUGCCGCGCGGGAUCCAUGUGUGCAGCGUGCCAGUGGAUGGGUGCGUGUUUGGGAAAUUAGGGGGUUUCGACCCAUCCACAGAUAAUUUACAUAAUACCUUUCUCCAUAGUGUAUUAUUGCGAUAGCAAUUUUUGGACACCCUAAGCGAAUUUUCGCCAUCGCCCUGAUGUUUGGUUUAAAGUCCAAGUGUGACAAAAAUUAUAGUGCUCCGUUGCAUCCCACAUGCUGGGGUUAAUUGCGAAUGAAAGGGUGCGAUUGUGAGCCGAGAAGGAUGGCAGCUUUAUGCGCGCUGUCCACGUCCCGUGAUCAAGUGCGCGCUAGGGUCAGAGAGCGCGCGACGUCUCUUGCCUGGCCGUGCCCGUGCAUAUGGCUGUCCGCGCGCAGCAGAGUGCAUAUACACGGCCCGCGCGUGCCACAUUUUUUAAAAGUAAUUUGCGGCCGGUGUAAAGGCGGCAAGCCGACGUGGCUGCUGGUUUCACGAGUGUCAAUUGGAAGUAGCGAUAUCUAAGUUUCGGGCGAAACUUAGAGAACAGUGACUUCCUUAGAGGGGCCAAAAUUUUGGGGCGCAUGAGCGGCACGUAUAGUAGAAUGCAGUGUUCCAUUGUAAAAAAAAAAAAAAAUUGAUGUAACAAAAUAGAGUGCUGAGUGUUACGUCUUUGUUACAUCAAGGUUCAACAAAAAUUAAGCGCUGGAAAUCAGCGCUGGACGCACAUGCAACUCCUUACUCCACACUGAAAACAUUUGAGAAAACAUUUUUUUUAAAUACUUUGUACAUUUGUAUAAAUACCUGCGGAUAUUCCUCUGGUUUAGCCUAAUUAUGUGCUGCCUACUUAACUUACUGACGCAGCAUACGUAUCAUUGCGAAAUUUAUAAUUUUUUGCUUUUAGAAAAAGCAUCGAGUUAUUGAAUUUUGCGAACAGAAAAAAAAUUGCAACUUCCAAUAUAGCGCGCUUCCUAGGCUAUUAAAUAGCUACAAUGUUCAAGGAACGUACUGUUUCCAUGAGUGGUUUACUCAUGCAGUAAGAUGUACUGCUCCUACACCUUGUAAUAAAAAGCAUAUGCAUCGACACAUAGCAGCUGAUAUUCUUGCUUAUUUUCUCAUCACAGAGGUAGAUGGGGCACAUGAACCAAUAUGCUCACACAAAUCAACGUGACCAACUACUGCGGAGACAUGGCAACGAAUUCUUUGUUUACCUUGUACACCACAAGUGCGAGGUUUGCGCAUUAAUUUGACUUCAUGAAACCCUAUUUAUACUACAGGCUUUACGGCAAUGCUUGCAUGCAGUGCGGUGAAGCGCUCGACGAAACUGCACAUAUUAUAUGAUUUGUUUGAUAUUAACUCGAGAUGCAAACGUUUGUGCAGGCAGGCAAGCAAUGUUUCCAUUCACGCAGCGCACCAAAAUAGCGAGGUAUAUGCAUUGAUCUGGUUUCAUGACAUCGUACUUUUGCCACUAGCUUUACGGCAGUGCUUGUGUAUAGUGCUGCGAAGCACGACGGAACUGCACGUUAUUAUACGGUGUGCUUGAAAUCCACUCGAGAUGCAAACGUUUGUGCAGGCAGGAAACGAAUGAUUUAAUUCACGUAGCACAACACGAGAGCGCGCUCUAUGCAGUCCUUUGAUUGAAUAAAACUCUAUUUCUGCCACAGGCUUCACAGCAAUGCUUGUGUAGAGGGCUGUGAAGCUCGACGCAGCUGUAACAACAUCCCACAGUACACCCGAUUUUUACCGAGUUUGUUUUAAAGGGCCCCUCACAGGCUACAUAACAAAUUUUGGUUAUACACUGAAAGUUGUUACGUGCCCUCUAAGAAGUGUUCUACCGCAAGCAUUUUUCAAAUUGGUUCAUUAACAGCAGAUAGAGAAUGAUUGAAGUGCCGCGAACGCAUGAUUUCAGGAGGCGAGCGUCGCCGCCUAUAUAAACACUCUCUCGACAUUCCCCGUUUCGCCUGUGUAAGCAAAUUUCCUUCACUGCGUUCUCCCAUACCGGAGCCGAGGGGUCGCGGCGGGUAUACCCUGCCGUCUUCUUUUUUUCACCGUCACCGGCACACUUCCGGUGACGGUGUCGCGCGAGCUGUUGCGCUUGUCUCGUUUCCUGUAGCGGACGAUAGUGCGCGCUCUACACGAGAACACGUGAUUAGCGGUAUAAGUCAGUGCCCCAGCACUGAGGCAAACGCGAGAGGAUAAAAGAGCAUUCAUGAUCGCAAUGCUGGAACACAUGUAGACAAUGACGUAUAGUUUCGUUCUCUGCGCGCGUGCAAACGUCGGGAAAAGGAGACGAAACGGAAAUUCAUCUCUCUUGCUACAGUGCGAAGUAAAACAAAAGCACCCAGACAUUCGGGUUGUAUUUUUCAUUAUUUCUCUAAACUUUAAUUAGUUCACUGCAGCAACAGAUUCAACAAAUAACUGAUGCUGCCUUGAAUCUAAGUCACGUGUCACUCUGAGUGCCAUCACAGCACAGCCUGUGCUCCUAUGCAGCAGCAAAGUUACGGGCAUUCAUCUGCUUGCUGCUGCGAUAACAUUAUGACACUUUAACUCAGAGGUACGAUUUUUGUUGUGUGAGAUUAUAGAUAGCCAGUAGACUACUUGUCUGAUGUUAAAUGCUAUGACCCACUGGCAAUCCACGAUGCACUCAACGAAAACGUUUUUAUGCUGUGUGUGGCGUGACUCACCAGUGACCCACACGCAAGAAUUCUUGCUCUUGUGUUGCCAUCUGAGGUUUGAAAUUGCAACUAAUAUAUAUUUUUAUUGCAUUGGACAUGGGGUGGCAUGUUUGUUUCGGAGAGUGGAGUGGCGGCGCAUUUCUCAGUUGGGUUUCUUGCAAACUUUCGCAGCAGUCUUUGAAAUACGUGCCAUUGGAAUAAGUACCUGCAUUUUUCUUGCUACUCCCAAACUUUUCAGCGUGUCUAAUAGAUAGAUCCUCAUGCCCCUUACGGAUGAAAAAAAAAAGCACAAUGCAGAGGAAACAAAUAAACUUAGUUUUGGGCCAGAAGAAUGCACCAGCAACUUCGCGAUCACCAGCGGAUGAGUCAAGUGCUUCAGUGUCAGAUGUUCAGCAGUGGACAGUGAAAUCAGUGACAAAGAUAGUGUUUACGAACCAUCACAGACCUCAGCCAGCAUGUCGAAUGGAGAGUCAGACCUGACUGAUGAUUCUGAGGUGAAUGAUUCAGGAUACAAUGCUCUCAUUUCUCUCAGCCCAUCUCUAGAGAAAUGGACACCGGCAACAACCACUUCGCCUAGUGUGACACCACACGUACUCUAGGCCGCCCACUAUCAUUCAGUUGCCAUCUAGCCGUUAUGCCCCAUCUUUAUGUUCACUGUUUAUUACGGAUGACAUUUGGCAAAUGAUGGUCAAUGAAACAAACAGGUUCACACAAGUGUUGAAGUCAACUACUCCUAAAUCUAAAUCACGCUUGAAAAAUUGGACGGAAACCAAUGCCAAAGAAAUUAAAGCAUUUAUUCGAAUACUGAUUUGUAUUGGUCUCCUCCGUCUUCCUACUCCCAAAUCUAAAUCAAAGUUGAAAAAUUGGAUGGAAACCAAUCUCCAACAAACGAAAGCAUUUGUUGGAAUACCAAUUUGUAUUAAUCUCGUCCAUCUUCCUAUCCGAGUCACUACUGGGCAAAAAGUAACCUGUAUGGUGUUGAACUCAUUCAUCAAAAUAUGAGCCGUGACCGCCUUCUCCCUACUUUUGAGGUUCCGGCAUUUUGCGGACAAUUAACUGGUUGCAGAGUUGCAGGAUCAUGUCUUUAAGAUCCAUCCUCUGGUAGAGAAAUUGAACCAAAAUUUUUGCCACUGUGCUUGAGCCAGGAAAGGAGGUUGUGAUAGAUGAAACAAUAGUGCCAUGGUGUGGCAGACUUUCGUUCUUACAGAGUCAGGCUGUUCAAGGCAUGUACCAAAGACGGUUACAGGCUAAAGGUUGAUGUAUAUGCCGGAAAGUGUGACUGAACAAUUGGCAUCGGACAUGCCGAAGAUGUAUGCUUGAAACUCCUGCAAAAUUACAAGGAAGUUGUGUGCCCGCUGUCCGUAGACAACUUCUACAUGAGCUUGCCGCUCACUUUUCGCCUUCUAAAGGAAGACACUUUCAUUCGUGGCACAGUUCGCUCAGUGAGGAAAGGGCUGCCAAAAGAUCUCACUGAAGUAAAGGUUGCAAAUGGCAGUGUUACCGAACUUCAGUCCAAAAAUGGAGUGAAGGCACUGAAGUGGAUGGACAAGAGGCCUGUUCUGAUACUCACAUCUGUCGCCAAAUAUGAAGCAACUUUGGUGGACAGUGGGAAGAAAACAAGGGACGGUGCACCAAUCAUGAAACAUCAGGCCGGUCUCGAUUACAAUGCAGCAAAAAAGGGCGUCGACUAUAGUGACCAAAUGACGUUAUACCACAACUGCCUUAGAAAAGGACUCAAGUGGUACAGAAAGGUAGCUGUUGAGUUGCUUGUUGGAUGUGUCAUCAUAAAUGCGUGGAACAUUCGUGGCAUGCUUGAAGGAAACUCUACGCCAAUUAUAAAAUUUCAAGAUGAACUGGCUCAUUCACUGUUCGGCCCUCGUCAAGACAACAUCGAAGAAACUCGUGGGAGAAGUGUCCACAUGCUAAGAAAAACUGGCACAUCGGCACACGACACUCAGUGGCUCUGCACUGGCUGCUAUGCGGCCAACAGUACCAGCAGUAGCCCAAACACUAUGGAGAGAGUGAGAAAAGUGACCACUUUCUGUGAAUAACGCCCCGGCAAGCCAUUCAUCUGUUUGUUGUGCUUUAAUUCUAAGCACAAGUAACCUGAGAAGCAAGCUAGCUUCAACUGUAAAAUGAGUAGGAUGAAAACUUCAAGACAUGGCUAAUGUUCAUACUAAAUUUUAGCCUUUCUCUAACUAAUAAAUAUUUCUAACACAGGAA